rnacentral:rRNA from 1 species
AGUGAACGCUGGCGGUAGGCCUAACACAUGCAAGUCGAACGGCAGCACAGUAAGAGCUUGCUCUUACGGGUGGCGAGUGGCGGACGGGUGAGGAAUACAUCGGAAUCUACUUUUUCGUGGGGGAUAACGUAGGGAAACUUACGCUAAUACCGCAUACGACCUACGGGUGAAAGCAGGGGAUCUUCGGACCUUGCGCGAUUGAAUGAGCCGAUGUCGGAUUAGCUAGUUGGCGGGGUAAAGGCCCACCAAGGCGACGAUCCGUAGCUGGUCUGAGAGGAUGAUCAGCCACACUGGAACUGAGACACGGUCCAGACUCCUACGGGAGGCAGCAGUGGGGAAUAUUGGGCAAUGGGCGAAAGCCUGAUCCAGCCAUGCCGCGUGGGUGAAGAAGGCCUUCGGGUUGUAAAGCCCUUUUGUUGGGAAAGAAAAGCAGCAGGUUAAUACCCCGCUGUUCUGACGGUACCCAAAGAAUAAGCACCGGCUAACUUCGUG